GAUGAACGCUGGCGGCGUGCCUAAUACAUGCAAGUCGAGCGAACAGACGAGGAGCUUGCUCCUCUCACGUUAGCGGCGGACGGGUGUGUAACACGUGGAUAACCUACCUAUAAGACUGGUAUAACUUCGGGACACCGGCGCUAAUCCCGGAUAAUAUCUUGAACCACAUGGUUCGAUAGUGAAAGACGGUUUUGCUGUCACUUAUCGAUGGAUCCGCGCCGCAUUAGCUAGUUGGUAAGGUAACGGCUUACCAAGGCGACGAUGCGUAGCCGACCUGCGAGGGUGAUCGGCGACAUGGGAAGUGAGACAGGGUCCAUGCGCCUACGGGACGCAGCAGUAGGGAAUCGUACGCAAAGGGCGAAAGCCUGGCGGAACAACGCGGAGCGAGUGAUGAAGGUCUUCGGAGCGUAAAACUCGGUUAUGAGUGAAGAACAAAUGUGUAAGUAACUAUGCACGUCUUGACGGUACCGGAUCAGAAAGCCACGGCUAACUACGUG
rnacentral:rRNA from 1 species